rnacentral:rRNA from 1 species
AGGAGCUUGCUCCUUUGACGUUAGCGGCGGACGGGUGAGUAACACGUAGGUAACCUACCUAUAAGACUGGGAUAACUUCGGGAAACCGGAGCUAAUACCGGAUAAUAUUUCGAACCGCAUGGUUCGAUAGUGAUAGAUGGCUUUGCUAUCACUUAUAGAUGGACCUGCGCCGUAUUAGCUAGUUGGUAAGGUAACGGCUUACCAAGGCAACGAUACGUAGCCGACCUGAGAGGGUGAUCGGCCACACUGGAACUGAGACACGGUCCAGACUCCUACGGGAGGCAGCAGUAGGGAAUCUUCCGCAAUGGGCGAAAGCCUGACGGAGCAACGCCGCGUGAGUGAUGAAGGUCUUCGGAUCGUAAAACUCUGUUAUUAGGGAAGAACAAACGUGUAAGUAACUGUGCACGUCUUGACGGUACCUAAUCAGAAAGCCACGGCUAACUACGUGCCAGCAGCCGCGGUAAUACGUAGGUGGCAAGCGUUAUCCGGAAUUAUUGGGCGUAAAGCGCGCGUAGGCGGUUUUUUAAGUCUGAUGUGAAAGCCCACGGCUCAACCGUGGAGGGUCAUUGGAAACUGGAAAACUUGAGUGCAGAAGAGGAAAGUGGAAUUCCAUGUGUAGCGGUGAAAUGCGCAGAGAUAUGGAGGAACACCAGUGGCGAAGGCGACUUUCUGGUCUGUAACUGACGCUGAUGUGCGAAAGCGUGGGGAUCAAACAGGAUUAGAUACCCCUGGUAGUCCACGCCGUAUACGAUNUUUGUUAAGUGUUAU